UCCCUGGUGGCUCAGAUGGUAAAGAAUCUGCCUGCAAUGCAGGAGACCCGAGUUCAAUCCCUGGGUCGGGGAG
rnacentral:tRNA from 1 species